rnacentral:rRNA from 1 species
UAAGUGAGGAUCUUAAAGGCCGAAUAUCUAAGGUUUCCAGGGUAAAGCUGAUCUUCCCUGGGUAAGUCGGGGCCUAAGGCGAGGGCGAGAGCCGUAGUCGAUGGAUAACAGGUUGAAAUUCCUGUACUGCUUAUGGACAGAACUGUGGGGACGCAGAAGGAGAGCACGAGCCGGAAAUGGAAAAGCCGGUACAAGCGUAUAGCAGUCAUGCAGGCAAAACCGCAUGAAAAAUGUAAAGCGUUAUGUGGAUCGAACAUUAGUAGAGAAGCGUGUGAGCCAGCUGCCAAGAAAAGCCGCUAUUGUUUCAUAAGUACCCGUACCGUAAACCGACACAGGUGGAUGAGGAGAGAAUCCUAAGGCCGGCGGGAGAAGUGUUGUUAAGGAACUCGGCAAAAUGACUCCGUAACUUCGGGAGAAGGAGUGCCACAGAGAUGUGGCCGCAGAGAAAUGGCCCAAGCAACUGUUUAGCAAAAACACAGGUCUAUGCAAAACCGAAAGGUGAGGUAUAUGGGCUGACGCCUGCCCGGUGCUGGAAGGUUAAGAGGAGAGGUUAGAGCAAUCGAAGCUUUGAAUUUAAGCCCCAGUAAACGGCGGCCGUAACGAUAACGGUCCUAAGGUAGCGAAAUUCCUUGUCGGGUAAGUUCCGACCCGCACGAAAGGCGUAAUGAUUUGGGCACUGUCUCAACAACACACCCGGUGAAAUUGAAAUACCAGUGAAGAUGCUGGUUACCUGCGCCAGGACGGAAAGACCCCAUGGAGCUUUACUCCAGUUUGAUACUGGGAUUCGGUACUGUCUGUACAGGAUAGGUGGGAGGCUAGGAAAUGGUGACGCCAGUUGCCAUGGAGCCAACCUUGGGAUACCACCCUUACAGUACUGGGUUUCUAACCUGCAGCCGUAACCCGGCUGGGGGACAAUGUCUGACGGGGAGUUUGACUGGGGCGGUCGCCUCCGAAAGAGUAUCGGAGGCGCUCAAAGGUUCCCUCAGAACGGUUGGAAACCGUUCGAAGAGUGCAAAGGCAGAAGGGAGCUUGACUGCGACACCGACGGGUGGAGCAGAUACGAAAGUAGGACUUAGUGAUCCGGUGGUAUAAAGUGGGAUUGCCAUCGCUCAACGGAUAAAAGCUACCCUGGGAUAACAGGCUUAUCACUCCCAAGAGUUCACAUCGACGGAGUGGUUUGGCACCUCGAUGUCGGCUCAUCGCAUCCUGGAGCUGUAGCAGGUUCCAAGGGUUGGGCUGUUCGCCCAUUAAAGCGGUACGCGAGCUGGGUUCAGAACGUCGUGAGACAGUUCGGUCCCUAUCCGGCGUGGGCGUAGGAUAUUUGAGAGGAGCUGUCCUUAGUACGAGAGGACCGGGAUGGACAAACCUCUGGUGUAUCUGUUGUUUUACCAAAGGCAUGGCAGAGUAGCCAAGUUUGGCAGGGAUAAACGCUGAAGGCACCUAAGCGUGAAGCCCCCCUCAAGAUAAGAUAUCCCAUCUUCGGAGUAAGACCCCUUGAAGACUACAAGGUUGAUAGGCUUCAGGUGUAAGUGUGGUAACGCACUCAGCUGAGAAGUACUAAUAGGUCGAGGACUUAU